GCAGCACCAUGCUCCAGUGCUCUGGGAGAGUUUAUAGUCCUGAGAGUUGAACACUGGAUGACUGACAGCUGUCCUUCAUCACAACAGAAGCCACAGAAAUCCUCCUCAUCAAAAACAUGACUUUGAUCUGCGUCCUCAUCUGGACUCUCCUCUGCUGCUGCUUCACAGAGUCCAGAGGACAGAUCACAGUGACUCAGCCUGGAGCAGUGAGCUCUGCUGUGGGAGCAACUGUGAGCAUCAAGUGUAGGACCAGUCAGAAUGUUCAUGUUUAUAGCAACAAUCACUGUUUAGCCUGGUACCAACAGAAAGAUGGAGGAGUUCCUAAACUGCUCAUUUACUGGUCUAGCACUCAACAAUCAGGGAUUCCAGCUCGUUUUACAGGCAGUGGAUCAAACUCUGACUUCACUCUGACCAUCAGUGGAGUCCAGGCUGAAGAUGCAGCAGUUUAUUACUGUCAGAGUUUUCACUAUCCUAACAGUCAGUAUGUGUUCACACAGUGAAAAACAGUCGUACAAAAACCUCCCUCAGUCAGACUGAACAGAAACUGAAGUGACUGCUGCAGCUGGAAGAUACUGCAGAGACUGAUACAGUUCACUGAGGACACACACA